UUGGCAGAACUGAAUAUAAUGAUU
rnacentral:piRNA from 1 species